AAACAAAAAGAAAUCUUGCCAUUUGCAAUGAUGUGGAUGGAACUAGAGGGUAUUAUGAAGAGAAACUGAGGCACAGUCACACAACUAUUAACCAGAUGAGCAGAAUUUCAAAGUCAGGUCCGGAUUUGAAGAAUCUCCCUGAAAUUGGGAAAGGACAGAUCCAAUGCUGACUUUCCAGCUAUGGAAGAUUUAUUUGAAAGGUACUCUACUGUGUUAUUGAAAAAGCACCACUAUUGGGAAAAGCUCCGUUCAAAUAUCUAUCCAAGUUUCUUGAAUAGUUUGAAAUGUUUUCUAAGGGUACGUAAUCGUCCUAUUAAAGGAGAUUCUCCGGAGGAGCCCAAUCCUACCUUGAAAUGGAUAAAUGUGAUUUCCCCUGGUGGCAGAUCACAUGUAGAAGAACUAUGUGAUCAGAGGUCUACUUCUCAGAAGAAGACAGAUAAGAACAGACUCCAGGACUUCAUUACCAGACUUCAGUUCAGGCAAAUAUCUGCAGAGCCUGCACAGGGAUGAAGGCCAAAGAGGGUUUGCUAAUGAUGGUGGUCCAAAAGUCCUUAAUGGCAGAGAGGAUGGAGUUGAAAAAGACACAUUUUAAAAAAAUGGUAUCUUUUGCAUCAUUUUAAAAGAGGUUGUUGCUUACCUAGCGACAAUUAUUAAGACUAUAAAGAAAAGAUGUUUUAAGAAAAGGUAUUGUGAAACAUGCCUAAAAGGUAUGAAAAGUGUGUCACUUCUUUUUAUAGUCCCCUCAUUGACAAGUGGGGGAAAUUCUUUCAUUCUUCACCAGUCAGCAUCCCUAAAUUCAUUCUUCCUUUCUUUUCAGGUAUGGCAGAGAGAAAUCUCACACCCUACUCCCACCCCAUGCUGCUGUUUGGGGGUUUUGCUGUCAGAUCUCAAGUCCAUUAGUGUGUGGUCUGAUGCCCAGGACUGGGAUGAGGCAUACCUGGAGGGCUAAGCUUAAGGGGGCAGGCUCAGAGCAGACACCCCUCACCCCCAAACCUGCAGGGGCUUAAGAAUGUCAAGAAUAUGACCCAUGAGGUGAACUGCAAGAUUAAGCAGAGGAGCAUCAACAGCCAUCAUUCGAACCAAGUCAUUUAUAGUUCUCCUCUACAACACACCUGCUACUCCAGAUGAACUUCUGCUGCUCCGUGAAGUACCCUAAUUUGCAUGGACUUUCAGUGACCUAUCUGUAAGCACACAGCAAGCACACACCUGCCUGAAAGGCUGGGCCCUCUUUUUAACUCACCACAGGGAAGUAUAAUAAAGCAAGACACCAUAGAUUAAAAAUUAUAGACAUUAAAGAGGAAAUAGGAGUAGCAAAUGAUGAGAUUAAGUAAUAAUAGUGUGAUAGAGAAAGGAUAAGACAGAACCAAAGUUCAAAUAAAUUGAUUUAUAUCCAGGAAAUUCUCUGUGGGCUCUGACAGUUUCUUUCAUGAAGCUGAAAUGCAGCAAGGUAAAAUUCUUUCAUUUUCAGGUCUUGCAAAAUGAUGAACUCAAUUUGUUGGAGAAAACUUGAGGGAAUGGAGCUUGAGCCUCUGAAUGCACAGUUGGCUAAUAGGGUUAUGAUAGAACUAAGGUCCACAGAGAGACAAUGGGUGCAGGCAGCUCCCAGAGCUUCUGGUAAUCCACAAGGACACCCCUCCUUACCAUGUAUGGUGUCUUCAAGUCUUGGUUGAGAAAUACUAAGGUGGUAGGUGCAUCUUUUCAGUGCAUUUUUGUACAGGCAGUUUUAGGAAGUAAUUUCUAUUUCCUUGAAACAAGAUUGGUUCUACUACAGAAUAGGAGGAUAAAUAGGAACUACACCAUGGGGAAGUAGGUAAAGGAAUAUGUGGGAGAGGAAGUCAGGAAGACUGGUUCAUUUUGACUUUGCUGAGAACAAGAAUUGUGUUGCUAAGGGGAGACUACAGCUAUGUCUAGACUUUUGUCCUUACCCGUAAAAUAAAAGUUUUAGAUUUGAUCUUUAAAAGUUCAUUUCAGCUCUAAAAUGUUCUAAUGCAUGAUGUGUUUGCUAUCUCCUGAGGAACCUCUCUCAUGAAUGUUCAUUUCAUUGCGGUGUUUGUCCUGUUAGAGAUUUCAGACUAAAAUCGAUGUACAACACUGCUCAUUGUUAAAACAUUCUGAGGAGUCAAAAUGCUCUUGAAGGAAAUACAUCAUGCUACUUCAUACAGAUAUGCUAAAAUGAAGACACUACAAUAUAGAUAUACCAAAAUGAAAAUAAGAAUUAGUAUGGUUAACUAGAAUAAAAUGGAUUAUACCUGUCAUUGUUGCAAAUGAAGUCACCCUAAAAAAUCUUCUCAUACAACCUGUUUGGCUGUUUGGGUUUUGUUUUUGUUUUUGUGUUUUUUACAUUUUCUUUCUAAAACAUCUUUCCUAAAGGUGAAUUGCAUUACUCCUGUCGUCUAUUACAGCUGAAAGAUCAUUACUAAAGCUACAGUCAUGAAUAAAGUCAUAGCCACAGGAAAUUGACUUCUCAUACAUCGAAGACUGCAAUUCAGGCUCUCUUGGCUUUCUUGACCCUCCUACAGUGAUUUUUCUUUCAAUACUUCAGUUGGUCAUGCAUCUGCCAACCCCACCAUCAAUUUUCUUUUUGUUUUUGCUUUGAUCUGUGCCCUAAGCCAGUGAAAGAGGAGGUUCUUAUUCUCGAAGACGGGGGCACCUAAGCUCAUUCUGGCUUCUGGAGGGGUUUGGCUAUCAGAGGCACAGCAGGAAAUAAAUAGGCAGGAGGAGAAGGUAAGA